GUGGCAUAAUUUUUUUAUAUAUCUUUUUAAAAGGGACGUGCUUCAUGCUCCUAAUUCUAUUCCUUUAGUUUAUCCACAAUGUGUAUAAUUUUUCAUCAGUUUCAAAAUUGUCUCCCUAAAAGUUCUUUUACCUAAAUCCACCCCUCCUAAAGAAAAAAAAAAAACAUAAAAACAAAUACAGCCAAGUGAUGAGCGAGAGAGAAGUCGGAGUAGGCAACAGACGAAGGCAAGUAGUCUCCAUACAUUUUGUUGAUAUAUAUCAGAUGGAGCUCAGUAUUCGUCCUACAUACUAUAGGACUCUUAGGAGUUUCAUUAAUUCUGUCAUUUCAAGUUCAACAAAAAUUUUGAAGAUUCCGAGUUUAUUUUUUGGUAAUUUAACUCUUGGGUUUCUCUCUCAUUUCGAGUUCAACAAGCAUUUUGAAAAAAGAUGUUGGGAGAACUCAUCGCCAGCAGUCUAGUGUAUGUGAUGGUAAUUUGAGGAAUCUUUGCAGGGCUGAUGUUUUAGAGAAUUGAAGACUCAAAAGAAAAGGAAGGUAAGGUUGUACAUCUGAGUGAAGCUCAACGCAAGGUUUAACUCUUCUGUUUUGCAUCUUAAUAUGAUUCUUUUGGAAUCUGCUAUAAAGAAAAAAUGUGCAGAAAUAGCAUAACAAUCUUUGUUAAUUGAGAAUUAUCUCUUUUUCACUUUGGUGACAAUUUAUAUUCUCGAUAGAUUCACAUGUUGAUGUGGUGUA